ACUUAAUUAGUUUAUAAUAAAAUUUUGAUUUGUGGUGUCAAAGAUGUAUAAAUAAGUACAUUAAGUU
rnacentral:tRNA from 1 species